CGGUUUGAAUUUUGAACAUUGGCGGGAUUCACUGAAAAGCACCGCACUAAUCAGUACAUAAACAAAUACAAGAAAUGCUGCUCCUUAAAAUGGUUAUUAACGACUUGGAUCUCUGCUAUUGUUUGCGGAAAUUGUGGAGAACAGUAGAAUUUUUAAGGGGUGGGGAAGGAUCGGUGGCGUCGAAGGAAAAACUGCGAGACGAUGCCGGAUCUUCUUCUCGACCUCUGUUUAGUGGCGUCGAAAGAAAAACCAAGGGAAAAACUGCGAGACGAUGCCGGAUCUUAUUCUCGAUCUCUGUUUAGUAUGGACCAGAGAAUGAAAUGGGUCCUACAAGGAAGAUGAAUUUAGCAGGAACGACAACAGUUGAUGCCUGCACCUUACAUGCAGCUGCCCAUGCGGCUUGGAAUGCCUGCUUUGCACCAUUAACAGAUCAGCUAUGUGGCUCCUAUUGUCUGAUCAGUGUGCCACAAUAAAACUAAAAGGUAUAGAAUUACAGUUGAAUGUUGCUUAUAUGUAUUAUGUUAUGGAAAUUAAAUAUUUAUAUUGCUCUAAUCGUGACUAAACUACCUUUAAAACAGGAUUUUUUUUCUUUACUUUUAAGUGAACCCCACCUGCCUCGGGUAGUUCUUUCUCUAAUACCCCAAAAAGUUCUUUCUUUCCCUAUGCAUGUAAAAGAAAGAAAAUAUGGGAAAAAUAUCAUAGAGUAACUUAUAUUAUAUUAAGACUUAAAUUAUAUUUUUAUCUUUUUA